rnacentral:rRNA from 1 species
UACGAAGGGGCUAGCGUUGCUCGGAAUCACUGGGCGUAAAGGGUGCGUAGGCGGGUUCUUAAGUCAGAGGUGAAAUCCUGGAGCUCAACUCCAGAACUGCCUUUGAUACUGAGAGUCUUGAGUUCGGGAGAGGUGAGUGGAACUGCGAGUGUAGAGGUGAAAUUCGUAGAUAUUCGCAAGAACACCAGUGGCGAAGGCGGCUCACUGGCCCGAUACUGACGCUGAUGCACGAAAGCGUGGGGAGCAAACAGG